GAAAGAUGGCUUUGGCUAUCACUCUGGGAUGGACCUGCGGUGCAUUAGCUAGUUGGUAAGGUAACGGCUUACCAAGGCGAUGAUGCAUAGCCGAGUUGAGAGACUGAUCGGCCACAAUGGAACUGAGACACGGUCCAUACUCCUACGGGAGGCAGCAGUAGGGAAUCUUCCACAAUGGGCGCAAGCCUGAUGGAGCAACACCGCGUGAGUGAAGAAGGGUUUCGGCUCGUAAAGCUCUGUUGUUGGAGAAGAACGUGCGUGAGAGUAACUGUUCACGCAGUGACGGUAUCCAACCAGAAAGUCACGGCUAACUACGUGCCAGCAGCCGCGGUAAUACGUAGGUGGCAAGCGUUAUCCGGAUUUAUUGGGCGUAAAGCGAGCGCAGGCGGUUGCUUAGGUCUGAUGUGAAAGCCUUCGGCUUAACCGAAGAAGUGCAUCGGAAACCGGGCGACUUGAGUGCAGAAGAGGACAGUGGAACUCCAUGUGUAGCGGUGGAAUGCGUAGAUAUAUGGAAGAACACCAGUGGCGAAGGCGGCUGUCUGGUCUGCAACUGACGCUGAGGCUCGAAAGCAUGGGUAGCGAACAGGAUUAGAUACCCUGGUAGUCCAUCCCGUAAACGAUGAGUGCUAGGUGUUGGAGGGUUUCCGCCCUUCA
rnacentral:rRNA from 1 species